GGAUGCGAUCAUACCAUCACUAAAGCACCGGAUUCCAUCAGAACUCCGAAGUUAAGCGUGCUUGGGUUAAUCGUGCUUGGGCGAGAGUAGUACUAGGAUGGGUGACCUCCUGGGAAGUCCUCGUGUUGCAUUCC
rfam:Triticum aestivum genome assembly, contig: Triticum_aestivum_CS42_TGACv1_scaffold_427635_5BS